GUUGACUGUUGUCGAGAUGGGACAACAGACGAAGUAUAAACGAACCUACUUGAUUUGAUAAACAUUUUUAUGUUUUUCAGUUUCGUCGGAAGACAUUUCCCACCAACCAUCCUGUCUUGAAAGAAAUAACUUUUGAACCCGAUUAUCUGAUAUUUUCCAGUUUCCCCUCACAACAAUUUGCAUCAAACCUCUUGUCUGUCUCUGGUUGCUUGAUGUGGCGACUGCAGAAGUGGCUCAGCAAAGCGUCUUCGUUGGAGCAAACAACCCUGCAUUCUGGACACCGAUUGUGCGCCUCCUUUAAAUAUAAAACUUUGUGAAACAUAAAAAUAUAUUAAACAUUUAUUUUUCAUCAUUUUAACCAAUAAAUACCUACUAAACAAGAA